UGUCUGUCUGUCUGUCUGUCUCUCUUUCUCUCUGUCUCUGACUCUCUCUAUCUACACCUACCUAGCCACCUAUUCUAUCUUUAGCCUGCCUUUAUUAUUUUUAUCAAUAACUCAAGGCCGUGAACAUACAUAUUACUCCUUCCUUCUCCUAUGUUCCCCAGAACAGCAACCCUACAAGGUAGGUUGGGCUGAGAGGGAGGGACUGGCCCACAGUCACCCACCCGGCUUCCAUUCCUAAAGUAGGACUAGAACUCACCGUCUCCUAGUUUCUAGCCUGGAGCCUUCACCACAAAAACAAACUGGCUGUCUUUGCCCUUCGUGGAGAAUAAAGGUGGGGGGGGGGGAAGGGGGAACCAUGCCAGGCCUCGGUAUCCAUCUUCAAGCCCUGAGCCAUCUUCUGGCCCUGGCUUCCUAAAUGGAAUGUAGCCUUCACGAGGACUAGGACCUUGAGCUUUUUUCGGAAAGGAACUCAAGCCAAAAGGGCAGGACGUGCCACCGGGGAUAUCGUAUCGCAGUUGGACUGUCCUGGGAGAAGUGGGGUGGUUUGACAAGCCUUCCGUGUUUUAGAAUAGAAUAGAAUAACAAGAGUGGGAAGGGACCUUGGAGGUCAUCCAGUCCAACCCCCCUCCUUGCCCAAGCAGGAGACCUUACACCAUUUCCGACAGAUGGCAGUCAGAAAUUUCUCUUCUUGAAAGCUUCCACGGUUGAAGCUCCCGCAACUUCUGAAGGCGGCCUUUCCCUCAUCCUGGUCAAAGGAAGAACGAAUCGGAGACGUUCAUGAGGUCUCCCUCCCGGAUCCCGCCUCUGAUUCGCUUCCUGCGUCCAUUUCCAGGGAUGGAUGCGGAAUCCCUGGCUGGGGAUGAGUGUCUGGAAGAGGAUGAGGAGGAGCUGGAGACCAGCUUGGAAGACCCUGAGCAGGACAGCGUGGGAAAAACCGUGCCGGGUGGACGCAGCUGCGGCCUCCUGACCCGCCGAGGAAUCACGCUCCGGGUUCUUCUCAAAGAUGGGCUGAUUGAACCCGGGGAAGGAGUCCUCUCGAUUUACUACCUGGGGAAGAAAUUUUGGGGCGACCUGCUGACCGAUGGGAAGAUCGCCUGGCAACAGACCGGACAGAUCUUUAACUCCCCCAGCGCCUGGGCCACCUACUGCAAGAAGCUGGUCAACCCUGCAAAGAAGUCGGGCUGCGGCUGGGCCUCGGUCAAGUACAAGGGGCAGAAACUUGACCAAUACAAGGCGGUCUGGCUGAAGAAGCAUCAACCCAACGCCCCCCCUGCAGAGGAGAGUCUGAUCAGCGAAGGGGAGGAAGAGGAUCUGGGUGAUGAGGAGGAAGAUGAAGCCAAAGGGAUGAAGGCGGCCUUGGCUGACUCCAUGCUGGCCAAGAAAGUGGACGAGAAAUCCAGGAAGCUGCUGGCGAAAAGUCUGUCAGACUCACACAACGCGGAACACAGCAAAAGGCUGGAAUGCCAGAAUCGAAUUCCUGUCCGCUAUUGCAGUUUGGGAAGUCGGGAUUCCGUCAGGAACCCCCAUACCUUGGUGGAGGUGACGUCUUUUGCAGCCCUCAACAAAUUCCAGCCUUUCAACGUGGCCAUCUCUAGCAACGUUCUCCUACUCGUGGAUUUCCACAGUCACUUAUCAAGAAGUGAAGUGGUGGGCUACCUGGCAGGCCAAUGGAACAUCAACAGCCAACUGCUGACGGUGCUGCGGGCGUUCCCUUGCCGGUCACGACUCGGGGACGGAGAGCUGGCAGCCAUUGUGGAAGAAGAGAUCUGCCAAAACCUCUUCCUGCGGGGGCUGUCGCUGGUGGGCUGGUAUCACAGCCACCCGUUCAGCCACCCUCUGCCUUCCCUGCAAGACAUCGACAUGCAGAUGGACUACCAGCUGAAGCUCCAGGGAUCCAGCAACAGCUUCCAGCCGUGCCUGGCGCUCAUUUGUGGUCCUUAUUACCAUGGCAACCAAGGCGUAGAAUCCAAGAUCUCCCCCUUCUGGGUGAUGCCACCCCCGGAGCAAAGACCCUAUGAUUACGGCAUCCCCAUGGAGGUUGAAGUCACCUACAUCCAGGAUGGAUUUUUAACGAACGACGUUCUCCACGAAAUGAUGCUGCUGGUGGAGUUCUACAAAGGGGCACCUGACAUGGUGAAGUUUCAAGACGCGUGGAGCCAGGAGCAGACCUACCUGGAUAAACUCAAGGGCUCCUUAGCUUCUAGGACACCCAAGGAUCAAAGCUUCGGACAUAUCCUGGAACAGGUCUACACUGCCCUCCAACACAGCAGCUGACGAAGCAGCUCUUUGAAGAGAGUCCGGGACUCCUACAGAAGACACAAACCUGGGUCGAGGCAGGAUUUGAAUCCGGAACUGCAGGCCGUGACAUUCAUCGGGGACAGGGUCGAAGUGGAUCCCUUUCGAAUGUUUGAAAUCAUCCCGUUUUGGGCUCGGCCUCUGGGCCCCCUGGCUGGAAAAGUGGAAGCACCCCUGGAUGUGUUAGCAAGUAGAUCGGCGCGCCCAUUUUACAGACGGGCGAGUCGAGAGCUUCAGUAGCGUAGCCUGGAGGGAGAUUUAGUUAGCACCAUUAGGAACUUAUGUUUCCCAUAAUGCAAGCAGAGAUGUCGCUUCAUUUGGGAAUGUUUUGUUGGCCAGAAAAAUGUUUACAUGAUGCAUUUUGAGCCAACGGGUUGAGAAACACUGCAGUGGCGAGAUGGGCGGCUGAUCAAUUUAAUCAAUAAAAACAUCGUAAUAACCAUCUGAAAAAGGGCAGGCUGGGGAAGCAAGGCUACCAAGAUCCCAUUAUCAUGGGUCAUGGAAGAAAAUUAAAAAUAUGUUGUAAAUCUCAUUCUUAGAGAAAAAGUGAUGACAAAUCAGGCUUGUCAUCUGGGAUGACAGACAGACAAAGAUUCAUCUGAAGAGAAGCAGAGAUGCUGGGUUGGGGAAAAAAUCCUUUCCCCCCCCCCCUUUUCAAGCUUUUUCUCCAAAAUGUGAGAUUGCAGAAGGACAAGACCCAGCAAGACUGAAUGAUGAGAUGGAGAACUUUGGUGGUGGCCAGGAUUGGGAGUUUACAAACGGUCAACCUGCCAGUAGACUCAAAACCUCGGAGGAAUAUAUAUAUAUAUAUAUAUGUUGUUGUUAAUUGUGAAGUCGUGUCCGACCCAUCGCGACCCCAUGGACGUUCCUCCAGGUCUUCCUGUCAUAUAUAUC